UAUGGAGGGUGCAAGCGUUGUCCGGAUUUAUUGGGUUUAAAGGGUGCGUAGGUGGCUUGUUAAGUCCGGGGUGAAAGCCCACAGCUCAACUGUGGAACUGCCCUGGAUACUGGCGAGCUUGAGUCCAGACGAGGUUGGCGGAAUGGAUGCUGUAGCGGUGAAAUGCAUAGAUAGCAUCCAGAACCCCGAUUGCGUAGGCAGCUGACUAGGCUGGUACUGACACUGAGGCACGAAAGCGUGGGGAGCGAACAGG
rnacentral:rRNA from 1 species